CAAGCUACUGGCAAGCUGAGCUGCCGGCAUGUAAUCAGAGAAGAGCGUAUGGGGAUCCGCUGCUGGAAGUGACGCAUUUGGCUUCCCGGCAGGGCACAAUUAGAAGCUGUUUGAGAGAUAUAUAAGAGGGAGGAAUAGCAGUCAGGAGUUGCCAGCAACUUGGAUCGGCAGUUGGUUUGGUCAUGAUGGAUGCAUAAUCAGCAGUGGGGGACUGUAUCCACCUUUUCCAGCCACCGGAGCACCUAAAAGCUGAACUAAUUUAUGCAGGAAAAGUCAUCAACUGCCGAGUCGAGAAGUUUGUGACAAAUCAAAUUUACUGUUGCAAUGUGGCCAACACCUGACUUACUAGUCAGCUGAUGACAGGGAGCCUGUCUGCUUCAAUGGGUGGAGCAAUCGCUUGGUGGGAGAGAGAUCAAUCUGCAACUGAUGCAACAGCUGUAGGCACCCUGAUUGAAAAACCACAGGGGAAAAGCAGGAACAUGACACUGCUAGGUACAUUAAGCAGCAGCUUUUUUUUCCACUGGAACAGAAGAUCUGGUAUGAUGACAUUCAAGCCUUGCCGAAUUACUCUGGGUGGGCCAACUUUCAUCUUAUGUGUAUGGGCAUGUUAAGUCUAAUCACAGACCACAUGUUAGGUUCUUUAAAUGAAGUCAUUACAGCACACUUAUUCCCUGGGGAAUAAUAGAUUUAAUGCCCUUCUUUACAAUAUUACUAGUUCAUACAAACCCAGAAAAUAACUCACAAUGGAAUUUGAAAUAACAUUUUAAAAAGUCCCAUUUUAAGCUGACAUCUAGAAUACAGAACGUGGGAAGUCAAGAAUGUCAUAAGUAGUAUAAAAACGACAAAUACCCAUAAGUGCACCUGUUGA